GAGAGAGGCUUGAAGCAGCGAGAAUUGCUAAUCCCCGCCCCCGUAGCUAAAAUCCGCGGCUCACUCAC
rnacentral:tRNA from 1 species